rnacentral:lncRNA from 1 species
UCGCUUUUUUUGCCUUUCUUUAUUUUUCCUCUUCUCCUCGGGGGGCUUGAAGCACUGCAGGGGCGGGGCCACCGAGGUGGGCCCCGAGGGAUCCGAGCCGUCCAUCGCGCCCAUCCCUGUCCCGUGUAUGGACUUUCUCUCUGUCUGGUUUUCGUUCAUUUUUUUAAUAAUUUCUUGGGUUCCCCGGGCCGCCGUUUCGUCAAAGGUGUGAGCUGUGUCAGAGGCUGCAGUGACGGGUGUGGGGCCCGCCUUAUUCUCGCUCUCGUCUUCCUUGCGCGGUGCUGCUGCUGGCGCCGAGCGCUUCUCUCUCUCUAUCCAUC